UUUUGGAUUUCGUUGUGAGUUGGGUAUGUGGGCAGGCAGAAGGGCCAUGUGAACAGGAUGUACCAGGAGGUAGUAACAGCUAGAUAGGGGACUGAGGUGCAGUUACUGGAUACUUCUGACCGUGUCCCUCACCUGCAUCAUGCCGAGGUUGAGCAUGAAUGUCUUCCCACUUAAGGAGAUGCCAGAAAUAAGUCUGCAGGAACAGUUAUUUUUAUCUUCCAUCACUAUCUGAGUCAAAGCACUGCUUAAGGAUACAACAUACAUUUUGUUUUUUAACUUGCUUUCAGGCUUAUGUACAUAAAAGCGUGAUGGAGGAACUGAAGAGAAUAAUUGACGACAGUGAAAUUACCAAAGAGGAUGAUGCAUUGUGGCCUCCUCCUGACCGAGUGGGCCGGCAGGAGCUUGAAAUCGUCAUUGGAGAUGAACACAUUUCUUUUACAACAUCAAAAAUUGGUUCCCUUAUUGAUGUCAAUCAAUCCAAGGAUCCAGAAGGCUUACGAGUAUUUUAUUAUCUUGUCCAGGACCUGAAGUGUUUGGUCUUCAGUCUUAUUGGAUUACACUUCAAGAUUAAACCAAUCUAGAUUGAAUAUUGGUGUGGACAUGGGGGGGGGUGGGUGGGAGUAGAAAAUUUUGUGUAUAUCAGGGCAGUAUUUUUUUAUGAACUAUAAAUGAUUGUCUUUAAUAAAUAUGUGAUAAAA
rnacentral:sRNA from 1 species